rnacentral:rRNA from 1 species
GACGAACGCUGGCGGCGUGCUUAACACAUGCAAGUCGAACGGAAAGGCCCUGCUUUUGUGGGGUGCUCGAGUGGCGAACGGGUGAGUAACACGUGAGUAACCUGCCCUUGACUUUGGGAUAACUUCAGGAAACUGGGGCUAAUACCGGAUAGGAGCUCCUGCUGCAUGGUGGGGGUUGGAAAGUUUCGGCGGUUGGGGAUGGACUCGCGGCUUAUCAGCUUGUUGGUGGGGUAGUGGCUUACCAAGGCUUUGACGGGUAGCCGGCCUGAGAGGGUGACCGGCCACAUUGGGACUGAGAUACGGCCCAGACUCCUACGGGAAGCAGCAGUGGGAAAUAUUGCACAAUGGGCGGAAGCCUGAUGCAGCAACGCCGCGUGCGGGAUGACGGCCUUCGAGUUGUAAACCGCUUUCGCCUGUGACGAAGCGUGAGUGACGGUAAUGGGUAAAGAAGCACCGGCUAACUACGUG